AGCUAGAGGAAGAAAUCUUUGGUUCUCCCUGCUCACUGCGUUAUAAGUAAAGAGCCGCGGUAACUUGACCGUGCUAAGGUAGCGUAAUAAGUUGUCUUUUAAUUAAGGACUUGAAUGAAAGGGGCCAUGGAUCUUAACUGUCUCUUUCCCAUUCUAGAGAAUUUACAUAGAGAGUGCAAAUUCUCUCUUUAGCACAAAGGACGAUAAGACCCUGGGAACUUUUGAUAAGCUUUUAAAAGUAAGUCUUUGGUUGGGGCGACCAUGUAUCGAUCAAACAUAAAAAACAAGACGAAAUUGUAUGAAAGUAUAAGUUACCCCAGGGAUAACAGCGUAAUUUUCUAACUAAGCUUUCGACCUCGAUGUUGGACUAGGGACUAUUUUAGAUCAGAAAUCUAAAAAGUAGCUCUGUUCGAGCUAGAAAUCCU
rnacentral:rRNA from 1 species